UACGUAGGGGGCAAGCGUUGUCCGGAUUUAUUGGGCGUAAAGAGCGUGUAGGCGGCCUGACAGGUCUGCUGUGAAAACUCGAGGCUCAACCUCGAGAUGUCGGCGGAAACCGUCUGGCUAGAGUCCGGAAGAGGAGAGUGGAAUUCCUGGUGUAGCGGUGAAAUGCGCAGAUAUCAGGAGGAACACCUAUGGCGAAGGCGGCGCCCUGGGUCGAGACUGACGCUGAGGCGCGAAAGCGUGGGGAGCAAACAGG
rnacentral:rRNA from 1 species